rnacentral:rRNA from 1 species
GACGAACGCUGGCGGCGUGCUUAACACAUGCAAGUCGAACGGAAAGGCCCUGCUUUUGUGGGGUGCUCGAGUGGCGAACGGGUGAGUAACACGUGAGUAACCUGCCCUUGACUUUGGGAUAACUUCAGGAAACUGGGGCUAAUACCGGAUAGGAGCUCCUGCUGCAUGGUGGGGGUUGGAAAGUUUCGGCGGUUGGGGAUGGACUCGCGGCUUAUCAGCUUGUUGGUGGGGUAGUGGCUUACCAGGGCUUUGACGGGUAGCCGGCCUGAGAGGGUGACCGGCCACAUUGGGACUGAGAUACGGCCCAGACUCCUACGGGAGGCAGCAGUGGGGAAUAUUGCACAAUGGGCGGAAGCCUGAUGCAGCAACGCCGCGUGCGGGAUGACGGCCUUCGGGUUGUAAACCGCUUUCGCCUGUGACGAAGCGUGAGUGACGGUAAUGGGUAAAGAAGCACCGGCUAACUACGUGCCAGCAGCCGCGGUGAUACGUAGGGUGCGAGCGUUGUCCGGAUUUAUUGGGCGUAAAGGGCUCGUAGGUGGUUGAUCGCGUCGGAAGUGUAAUCUUGGGGCUUAACCCUGAGCGUGCUUUCGAUACGGGUUGACUUGAGGAAGGUAGGGGAGAAUGGAAUUCCUGGUGGAGCGGUGGAAUGCGCAGAUAUCAGGAGGAACACCAGUGGCGAAGGCGGUUCUCUGGGCCUUUCCUGACGCUGAGGAGCGAAAGCGUGGGGAGCGAACAGGCUUAGAUACCCUGGUAGUCCACGCUGUAAACGGUGGGUACUAGGUGUGGGGUCCAUUCCACGGGUUCCGUGCCGUAGCUAACGCUUUAAGUACCCCGCCUGGGGAGUACGGCCGCAAGGCUAAAACUCAAAGGAAUUGACGGGGCCCCGCACAAGCGGCGGAGCAUGCGGAUUAAUUCGAUGCAACGCGUAGAACCUUACCCGGGUUUGACAUGGAUCGGGAGUGCUCAGAGAUGGGUGUGCCUCUUUUGGGGUCGGUUCACAGGUGGUGCAUGGCUGUCGUCAGCUCGUGUCGUGAGAUGUUGGGUUAAGUCCCGCAACGAGCGCAACCCUUGUUCACUGUUGCCAGCACGUUAUGGUGGGGACUCAGUGGAGACCGCCGGGGUCAACUCGGAGGAAGGUGGGGAUGACGUCAAGUCAUCAUGCCCCUUAUGUCCAGGGCUUCACGCAUGCUACAAUGGCUGGUACAGAGAGUGGCGAGCCUGUGAGGGUGAGCGAAUCUCGGAAAGCCGGUCUCAGUUCGGAUUGGGGUCUGCAACUCGACCUCAUGAAGUCGGAGUCGCUAGUAAUCGCAGAUCAGCAACGCUGCGGUGAAUACGUUCCCGGG